rnacentral:rRNA from 1 species
AGUGAACGCUGGCGGUAGGCCUAACACAUGCAAGUCGAACGGCAGCACAGUAAGAGCUUGCUCUUACGGGUGGCGAGUGGCGGACGGGUGAGGAAUACAUCGGAAUCUACUUUUUCGUGGGGGAUAACGUAGGGAAACUUACGCUAAUACCGCAUACGACCUACGGGUGAAAGCAGGGGAUCUUCGGACCUUGCGCGAUUGAAUGAGCCGAUGUCGGAUUAGCUAGUUGGCGGGGUAAAGGCCCACCAAGGCGACGAUCCGUAGCUGGUCUGAGAGGAUGAUCAGCCACACUGGAACUGAGACACGGCCCAGACUCCGACGGAAGGCAGCAGUGGGGAAUAUUGGACAAUGGGCGCAAGCCUGAUCCAGCCAUACCGCGUGGGUGAAGAAGGCCUUCGGGUUGUAAAGCCCUUUUGUUGGGAAAGAAAAGCAGCAGGUUAAUACCCCGCUGUUCUGACGGUACCCAAAGAAUAAGCACCGGCUAACUUCGG